UACGUAGGUGGCAAGCGUUGUCCCGGAUUUACUGGGCGUAAAGAGCGCGCAGGCGGUCGAUCAAGUCGCGUGUGAAGCCCCCGGCUCAACUGGGGAGGGUCACGCGAUACUGAUCGACUCGAAGGCAGGAGAGGGUAGUGGAAUUCCCCGGUGUAGUGGUGAAAUGCGUAGAUAUCUGGAGGAACACCGGGUGGCGAAGGCGGCAUCCUGGACCGGCAUUGACGCUGAGGAGCGAAAGCCAGGG
rnacentral:rRNA from 1 species